GACGAACGCUGGCGGCGUGCCUAAUACAUGCAAGUAGAACGCACAGUUUAUACCGUAGCUUGCUACACCAUAGACUGUGAGGUGCGAACGGGUGAGUAACGCGUAGGUAACCUGCCUGGUAGCGGGGGAUAACUAUUGGAAACGAUAGCUAAUACCGCAUAAUAUUGAUUAUUGCAUGAUAAUUAAUUGAAAGGUGCAAUUGCACCACUACCAGAUGGACCUGCGUUGUAUUAGCUAGUAGGUGAGGUAACGGCUCACCCAGGCGACGGUACAUAGCCGACCUGGGAGGGUGGUCGGCCACCCUGGGACUGAGACACGGCCCAGACUCCUUCGGGGGGCAGCAGUAGGGAAUCUUCGGCAAUAGACGGAAGUCUGACCGAGCAACGCCGCGUGAGUGGAGAAGGUUUUCGGAUCGUAAAGCUCUGUUGUAAGAGAAGAACGGGUGUGAGAGUGGAAAGUUCACACUGUGACGGUAUCUUACCAGAAAGGGACGGCUAACUACGUG
rnacentral:rRNA from 1 species